rnacentral:rRNA from 1 species
GAUGAACGCUAGCUACAGGCUUAACACAUGCAAGUCGAGGGACCGGCGCACGGGUGAGUAACACGUAUCCAACCUGCCCUUUACUCGGGGAUAGCCUUUCGAAAGAAAGAUUAAUACCCGAUAUAAAGGAUGGGGAUGCGUUCCAUUAGGUUGUUGGUGAGGUAACGGACAACCAAGCCUUCGAUGGAUAGGGGUUCUGAGAGGAAGGUCCCCCACAUUGGAACUGAGCGACGGUCCAAAGUCAUACGGGAGGAAGCAGUGAGGAAUAUUGGUCAAUGGGCGGUAGCCGGAACCAGCCAAGUAGCGUGAAGGAUGAAGGCUUAUGGGUCGUAAACUUCUUUUAUAUAAGAAUAUGUAUUAUAUGAAUAAGGAUCGGAUAACUCCGUGCCAGCCGCCGCGGUAAUUC